UUGCUAAACUACUUACACAGAAAAUUUUACACCACAAUUUGUGGGUUACGUCUGGGACAUUCUCGUAGUGGUGCUCAUUUAUUUAGGAUCGGUGUUUUAGAUUCUCCAACUUGUCAAUUCUGUAAUUUAUCCAUCCAAACUCUUGAUCACAUUUUCUUUGACUGUCCCCAAUAUAAUCUUCAAAGAUUUACAUUGAUAGACUGCCUCUUGGAUAUUUAUAAGAAUGCUGAAGACAUCCCGCGCUCACUUCAUCAGUUAUUGAAAACUUAUGACUGCUUCGUGCCGCUUUACAAAUUUAUAGUUUCAACGGUAGGCGAAAUUUGAAAAUACGGCUUGGCUUUUGACACAAUCCCUUACACAGACUUAAAACAUAUUCGUCCAUGAAUUAUUAUUGGACUUGUGUUUAUAAUGUAAAUUUUAAUGUAUAAAUGUAAAUAGUAUAUUUGUAGUUAUACCUUAAAUUAGUUUCAUAUUAUCUUAUAAUUAUUAUAUUCAAUUAAUGUUCAUCAUUAUUACAUAUAAUUCAUGAUAAUAUAUUUCUUAUGACGUAUAUGAGAUUUAUAUUUUAGUAUUAUAUCAUAAAAGUUUAUUAUUAUUAAACUCCGGAGUAAGCUUGAUCUUCAUUGGAACAAGAAUAUUAUCAAUAAAAGACUUGGCUUCGGCCUUUCAUGCGAACCUAUAUGUAUAUGAAGAAAAUGAAACAUGAAGAACACGAAAUACUACUUUUAUGUGAAAUUGUACUAUUUAUGUUUGGAGAUGAAGAUGAUAUAAAGACUUAGCUUGACUUUGAACAAGCUGUGUAAAGUGAAGGCUGAAGAAAAGAAAAAUAAAAAUGAAGACUUGGAUGUAUGGGCUUUUGACCCCUUUGCCUGUUCAGAUGGACGAAAAGAACCAAAAAAAAAUGUCUAUGGAAUAUUGUUUUUUUUUUUACCUAUCUAGUCAAGAUGCUAUCUGACAUAGUCUUACAUAAAAAAGGAUAUGACUGACAGGAGUUCUGACACUUGUAGGUCUCAUUUUACCGCGGUGUAUAGUGUCACAAACUUAUCUGGCCCGGUGGCCAAAAGUAGAAUUAACGUCGCCAUUUUGAAAUAUCAAUCAGCCUGUUAUUCCAUGACAUUCCUACCAUUGUUUGUUCCGUGUGUUUAUUUUUUUUUGUGGUUUUAAUAAGUGAAAAAUGCCGAAAGCUUUAAAAAGUGUUGUGAGGAACGUUAUAUUACAAGUUGUGAAUUAUAUGAAGGAAGAAAACGCCUUUUAGGCACCAAUUAUAUCCUUCGAUAAGUUGUAUGAACGCGUUGCUGCUGCCACAGGUGUCGGGGAGCGAUUUGUAAGAAAACUUGUAAAAGAAAAAGAGCAAGCAGAUGAAACUGGAACAAAGAUAUCCACUACAGGAAAAAAAAGGAAAAGGACUAAAGGCAAAAUUGAAGUGGACAAUUUUGAUCUCGGUGUCAUUAGAAGAAAAAUUCAUGAAUCCUACAGCAUGCGCAAAGAAAUUCCCACAUUAGCAAAGUUGUUAAAUGUGCUUCAAGAAGACAUUGAUUUUAAAGGGAGUCGUGAAACACUCCGAAAAAUACUCAGUAAAAUUGGAUUUCGUUACAAGAAAUCAAAAUCUAAUCGAAAAGUACUAAUUGAACGUAAUGAUAUAUCAGAAUGGAGAGCUAAUUAUCUACAAAUAAUUUAUGAAAAUGAAUGCGGUGAAAAAAAACCAGUCAUAUUUUUGGACGAGACUUAUAUUCAUUCGUCUCAUACAGCUGGACGCUGUUGGCAAAGUGAUGAAGUUAAUGGUGUGCUUAAUCCAGUCUCGAAAGGAAACAGAUCAAUAAUUGUUCAUGCGGGAGGACAAGCUGGCUUUGUGGAGAAUGCGUUAUUAGUUUUUCAAUCAAAUACAAAAAGCGGUGAUUAUCACGAUGAAAUGCAUAGUACAAAUUUCAAAAAAUGGGUGACCGAUAGACUUCUACAAAAUCUACAUCGGCCAACAUUAAUCAUAAUGGAUAAUGCCCCAUAUCAUAGUAUUUCUAUAAACAAAUGCCCUAAUUCAAAUUAUAAAAAGGCUGAUAUGCAAAAAUGGCUGUCAGAAAACAAUGUUGAAUUUAGUGAACAUUUCACAAAACCGCAACUCUACGAAUUAAUCAAAAGGCACAAACCAAAACCUAUUUACGAAAUAGAUGAAUUAUUGAAUAGUAAUGGACACAGCGUGUUAAGGUUACCACCAUACCAUUGCGAUUUAAAUGCAAUCGAAAUGAUUUGGAGCUCUAUGAAAAGAAAUGUAGCAGAUCAGAAUAUUGUGAGAUCAAAUUCUGAAAUGCCUACAUUGAUUGCAGAAGCUUUUGAUAAAAUAACGAAUAAGAAUGGCAAAAGCAUUGCAAUCAUGUAAAAAAAAUUGAAAACGAGUAUCGAAAAAGGGAUGGAUACUUAGACGAGGCUUUCAUCAUUAAUUUAGGUAGUGAUAGUGAAAGUGAAAGUAGUGACUCUGAUGAUGAUGAAAUGACUUAUGAAUUGAACAAUUCCGGUGAUAUAAGAAUACCUGGAAUAUCUCCGUUAGAGAACACUCGGCAUACAUUUUAUUUAAAUGAUCAUAAUUAUUGUAUAAAAAUAUAAAGAUUUUUUAUA